rnacentral:rRNA from 1 species
UAGUCACGCUGUAAACGAUGUCGAUUUGGAGUUUGUUGCCUAGAGUGAUGGGCUCCGAAGCUAACGCGAUAAAUCGACCGCUGGGGAGUACGGCCGCAAGGUUAAAACUCAAAUGAAUUGACGGGGGCCCGCACAAGCGGUGGAGCAUGUGGUUUAAUUCGAUGCAACGCGAAGAACCUUACCUGGUCUUGACAUCCAUAGAAUUCUGCAGAGAUGUGGGAGUGCCUUCGGGAACUAUGAGACAGGUGCUGCAUGGCUGUCGUCAGCUCGUGUUGUGAAAUGUUGGGUUAAGUCCCGCAACGAGCGCAACCCUUAUUCUUUGUUGCCAGCGAUUUGGUCGGGAACUCAAAGGAGGCUGCCGUUGAUAAAGCGGAGGAAGGUGGGGACGACGUCAAGUCAUCAUGGCCCUUACGACCAGGGCUACACACGUGCUACAAUGGCGUAUACAAAGGGAAGCGAAGGUGCGAGCUGGAGCGGAUCUCAUAAAGUACGUCUAAGUUCGGAUUGGAGUCUGCAACUCGACUCCAUGAAGUCGGAAUCGCUAGUAAUCGUAGAUCAGAAUGCUACGGUGAAUACGUUCCCGGGCCUUGUACACACCGCCCGUCACACCAUGGGAGUGGGUUGCACCAGAAGUAGAUAGCUUAACCGCGAGGGGGGCGUUUACCACGGUGUGAUUCAUGACUGGGGUGAAGUCGUAACAAGGUAACCA